rnacentral:rRNA from 1 species
AGCGAACGCUGGCGGCAGGCCUAACACAUGCAAGUCGAACGAAGCCUUCGGGCUUAGUGGCGGACGGGUGAGUAACACGUGGGAACGUACCUUUUGGUUCGGAACAACUCAGGGAAACUUGAGCUAAUACCGGAUGAGCCCUUAGGGGGAAAGAUUUAUCGCCGAAAGAGCGGCCCGCGUUAGAUUAGCUAGCUGGUGAGGUAAAGGCUCACCAAGGCAACGAUCUAUAGCUGGUCUGAGAGGAUGAUCAGCCACACUGGGACUGAGACACGGCCCAGACUCCUACGGGAGGCAGCAGUGGGGAAUCUUGCGCAAUGGGCGAAAGCCUGACGCAGCCAUGCCGCGUGAAUGAUGAAGGUCUUAGGAUUGUAAAAUUCUUUUACCAGGGACGAUAAUGACGGUACCUGGAGAAGAAGCCCCGGCUAACUUCGUGCCAGCAGCCGCCGUAAUAC